ensembl:processed_transcript Hectd2, opposite strand
GGGACUAGGGUGGGGAUGAUGAAGGCAGGGGCUGCUCCUGUAGCUGAGAUCUGGGGUUGACCUUUGGAGUCAGUGUGGGGAGGUCAGAGAAUGACCGAUUUGGGUUUUAGCCUACUGAUCACUGAGAGCAACCCCAUGAACGUGCUAAGCAGGAUUAAAUUUAUCAGUGUUGGGACAGCUCUGUGGAGUAGCCGGAGCCAUCCCUGCGUUUGCCGCCGGGGUUAGGGGAGAAAGAACUGCAAAGAGAGGUUCCUAUAAACCUUGCAUUUCUGAGAGUGGCUGCAUGUAAGUCCUUCCCAGCAGA